rnacentral:lncRNA from 1 species
UUAUGUGUGUGCUCAAACAUGAUUUAUCUGUACUCUAUCUUACUCAAAUACUGUUGACUCUGUACAUUAAAGCUCAUAUAUGAUGUCUAUAGAUAAGUAAACACUUUCUAUGGAGUUGGGAAUUCUAAGCUUAAAAGAGUGCUUAAGCAUUAAUAUUUAGUACAAAUAAUACAGUGGUAUCUUUCUAAUAAGGUUGCUUUCUCCAUGUGCAGGGAUGCAAGUAUGAUAGUCUGGUGCCUCAAAAAUUUUUUUUUCAUAAAAAAAAAGAAAAGAAAAAAAAAAGAGAUACUUUGAUAGCAUUUUCAAAGCUUUACUUGGUAAUCUAGAGCCACAAGCUUGUUGAUGUUGCAGUGUCUACUAAAGUGUGCAAAAUGUAGCCGCUUAAGAUAGCUGCACACUCAAAGAGUUUCCAAAUAAACACACAGCUGAGGCUUUCCUAACUCCUAAAUGUUGACGCCUCCAUCUAAAGGGGAGGAUAAAUAGGAGAUGGAGAGAUGAUUUGAUUUGGUAGGGAAGAGCUCACUAGUCAUACAAACUUCCACUUGGAAGCACUCCAUAGUGGCCUCUCAGGCAAACCCUUCCCUGUUUCCUUGUUAGGCAGCCUUAAUGGAAGCACUACAUAUGAAUGAGCAAGGAUAUAAAUUGCUAUUGUUUUCUUUUAUAUUGUUAAGUAAAAUUUUUAUAAGUGCAUUUAUCACUUUAAUUAGUGCACUGCUCUUUAAACCUAGAAAUAGCAGUGUUUGACACAAACACACUGAUCUUGUAAAAUACAUAGAGCCUCCCUCCCUCUCAUUAUCCCUGUUCCAUGCUACAUGGAAUCUUUCUGUAAAAUUUAAAUAUUUGCAUAUGUUUGCUUUAAAUGCUCUGAUGUAAACUCUGACAAGUUCCUCAUUUAUAAACUUACUCUCAUAUCAGUUGAAAGGGGAAAAAUUAUAUUGGCAGCUUUUCUCUCAUUGCUCUCCAUAAGGUAAUUGCUGAAGGGUUUCCUUGGUCACAAGCUCACGUUUAUAAAAAGUAUUUUAUGGAGUUAUUACUCCAGGAAGGGUACAGCCAGAGUGGUUGAGCCUUCGUUUGAAUUCACAGACUCAUCGUGAGCUUAGUAUCUUGGCCAAUCUGUAUCCUAUCAUGCUAAUUUUAACCUUAGAUAUUUGGAGAUGAGUGAUAAUUGUGGUAAUAUCUAUGUAUUUUCUUACCCCACCCCCACCCCAUUCUAUGACAGAGGGAUGAUGAAUUUAUCCAGUUUUUAUAGUGCUUUUUAUACCACCUCAGAAGGCGCUUGCUCCUAUCUCGGGUUUACUAUUUAGUAUAAAGAGUUCCGAUUUGGGUAUAUUUAAGAAAGACUCAGCUGUCAAACGCAAAGAAACUGGGAAUGGUGUUUUGACAACCAUAUAGUGUUAAAGGAAAUACUGUAGUCUGAAUAAAAUUGCUUAUGUUCUC